UGGGGAAUAUUGCACAAUGGGCGCAAGCCUGAUGCAGCCAUGCCGCGUGUAUGAAGAAGGCCUUCGGGUUGUAAAGUACUUUCAGCGGGGAGGAAGGGAGUAAAGUUAAUACCUUUGCUCAUUGACGUUACCCACAGAAGAAGCACCGGCUAACUCCGUGCCAGCAGCCGCGGUAAUACGGAGGGUGCAAGCGUUAAUCGGAAUUACUGGGCGUAAAGCGCACGCAGGCGGUUUGUUAAGUCAGAUGUGAAAGCCCCGGGCUCAACCUGGGAACUGCAUCUGAUACUGGCAAGCUUGAGUCACGUAGAGGGGGGUAGAAUUCCAGGUGUAGCGGUGAAAUGCGUAGAGAUCUGGAGGAAUACCGGUGGCGAAGGCGGCCCCCUGGACGAAGACUGACGCUCAAGUGCGAAAGCGUGGGGAGCAAACAGG
rnacentral:rRNA from 1 species